CAACAAUUUUUGGCAGGUCUUGUGACUACCUGCCCAAGGCACUAUAGUCCCCAGCAGAGUGUGCGCCCUCGUCACCAACCCUGAGUGGUCCAUCAGACUGAAUUUGUCUAGACGGUUGGCUUUUGGGUUCCUGCUUCCCCCGCCUCCACGUACUCCAGGCUCCUUGGUGCUACUUUCAAUUUUGACAGAAGAAACAGCUCCUGCUUCAAAGGUCUUUUGGAUUUCCAGCAUCACAGUCUGUGAUUUGGAGUACCGGUUGCCCAGCGGGGUGGAAUCAAGAUGAAACUACAACCUGAAAACACCAGGUCCAUUUCCGGAAAUCCGGUGCAGCUGAGUUUGGGGAAAUAACGUCGCUUUUAGCACUGGUGCAAGUAGAUGACUGACUCCUGGACUCAGGGAACCAGACAGGAGCCAAUGGCCCCGAGCUGUAGGCUUAUCCAUAUACAUGUUUACAGAGGAAUGGCGAGCUUCAGAUAAACAGGUGAGUCAGGUAAGAGAGGUUGGAUAAGAGAGGUCCUGCUCUGCACUUAAAGCCCUGCAUGCCAUGAAUGAAUUGCAAAAAGUGCUCAAAACUACUGCUUAUUAUUAUUAAAUUCUGAUUGUUGUUACCUCUGCUAGUAUAAAAGCCCACCAAUCCACCAGUGCCCUGCUCAGAUGACUGCCUAACCAACAUCCUUUCCCUCAUUCCUCUUUUCAAACACAAGCCCAACUUUGCCUUGUUUUUUGUUCUGGGUUUUUUUUUUUAACGGCAGUUUUAUUGAGUUGUAAUCCACACACCAAACAACUCACCUAUUUAAAUCGAGACGCGCUGACGGUGGCCCAACUUCGCCUUGGUGGCCACCUGUGCCCGUGCAGCCCCUCGGCUCAGGGGAUGCUGACCGGAUCCUCUGCUCCAGGGUCACCGCUAUUAGUCAACGGUAAUUAGUCUACAGCCAUCCCCUAGAGAUUGUUAGUGGUCCAAGGUGGGCACAUGGCCCAACAUGGCCAGUUGUAUCAGAGAGGAGUGUAUAUCUCACACUCCUUGCUCUCUCAAGGCCAGUAAACCUGGACAAGGAGACACGUGGUCCCAGUUGCCAAUGGUGGUUAUCUCGUGACCAAGAGGGGAACUGACUUAAGUAUGAAACCAGAGCAGCGGCUGGCAGAGCAGAGAGGCUAGUGGUGGUGUAUAGCCGCCGAAUCCCUGGAUUCAGCUGCUGGACCCACCCUGAAGUCCUCCUGACUGGUAGCCUCCAUUACAGGAGAUAAAUUCCUUUGCGGUGUAAAUCAGACUCAUUACGGACUUCAGUUACAUGCUGGCAAAUGCAAGUAAAUGGACACACCAUCCCUUCCAAAAAGCCUACCCUGACCCCCCAGCACCCAGCAAUCCCUCCCCCUUCGGAACCUCAGGACCUUUCUCACUGAACUAACCCACUCCACCCUGUGUGCUAUUUAUGUCCCCCACCAGGCAUGAACCUGCUGAGAAAAAGGUCUGAUUCAUCUCUCUCCCCUCCUUAGCCCAGGGCUCUGCACUUAGUAGGUGCUUUGUAAAUGUUAUUGCACAAAUAACCGUAUAUUUGUAUUGCAGUUGCUUUAGAAAGCCAGAUAGAAGGGUGAAAGCACUGCUUUGUUUUUUGUUUUUAAGAAACUCAUCACUGAGAUGUAAACUGUUCUGUUAGACAACACUGCAGUACUUUGAUGCCAGUAAAGACAGGUUUUAAGAUGUUUUAUUUUAUUGGGACAAACUGCACGUCCAUAAAAGCUUCAUCCGUCUUUUUCUCAGUUGAUGGCAUUUGAAGACUCAGUAAUUUCCUUCCUACAACUGAUAUCCCUCUUUAACAUUCAAACUCCCUUUAACAGAUGUAGCACUUUCCAACCAGCCCAUCUGGACAGGUGGCAGGCACGCUAAAUCUCCUCCGUGGGCCUGGGGCAUUCUGGGCACUAAUGGAAUGUUUAUCCAUUUAUUCUUUAACUGCGGGGGCUGCCCCUCCUUAGGGGGAAUGAACACCAGCCAUUAGAUUAAAAUGCAGGCUGAGUCUUUAAAAGAGAAAGCCAAAAGUGCCCUGGAAACUUUAGAGACGGUGUUUCAGAAGGGCAAUGUUAGUUCCAGGUUAAAUCCAAGGUUACCGUUCCAGGGCCCUCCUGCAGAUGGGCAGAGGCCGCAGGGACCAAGGGCGAGGACACCCUCAGCAUCAGGGCCCUAGGUGCAGAUUUCCAAUGCCCCCAUUUCCACCCGAGCUGGUCAUUCCCAUAGUAAAAGGCAACUCCAUCCUUCCAGGCGAUCAGGUCACAUCUUGAGGUUGGUCUUAAUGCUUCUCUUCCUCUUGUUCCCCCACAUCCAAUCUAUCAACCAAUCCUUUUGGCUUUACCUUUAAACUAUGGCUGGAAUUUGAUCACCUCCCACCUCCACCACGAAUGGUCCAAGCAGUCAUCAUCUCUCACUGGACUCUUGCAGUUGCCUCCCCACUGGUCUCCCUGCAUUGACUCUCGCCCCUCUCCCCUCCACAGUUCACCCUCCACAGGCAGUCAGAGGAAUCCUUUCAAAUAACAUGUCAAAACCUACAAAGUCUUCUGCACAAAACUCUCAAAUCACAUUCCAUGACUCUUAAAAUGUGACACAAAUUUCUUUGCCAUGGUCUAGAAAGCCAUAUCUAAUCUCAGCUGUGGCUCCUCUCCCCCUUGCUCCCUCAUGCCAGUCACACUCCCACCACAGGGCCUUUGCACAUGUUGUUCCCUCUGUCUGUAACAUUUUUCCUCCAGAUAUGCACAUGGAAGACACUCUUCAUUCCUCAGGCCUCUGCCCAAAUGGCACACCUCAGAGGGGACUUCCAGGACCUCCAGUCUAAAGUAGCCCCCCAAGACCUCUCU